rnacentral:rRNA from 1 species
UACGGAGGAUGCGAGCGUUAUCCGGAUUUAUUGGGUUUAAAGGGUGCGCAGGCGGUCUGUUAAGUCAGCGGUCAAAGCCCGGGGCUCAACCCCAUCCAGCCGUUGAAACUGGGGAUCUAGAGUGUGCGAGAGGUAUGCGGAAUGCGUGGUGUAGCGGUGAAAUGCGUAGAUAUUAGGAGGAACACCAGUGGCGAAGGCGGCCUGCUGGACUGUAACUGACGUUGAGGCUCGAAAGCGUGGGGAGCAAACAGG